CUCUUGGACCGAGGCCGUCUUUGUCGGUUCCGUCGGCCGCCACUGCGGCGCCGCGGUCAUCCUCCUCACCGAACAGCUCCAGGGACCGUGACGGGCUCCGUGUUGUCCGCAUCUCCUCUGGACCAUGGACUCGAAGCCGCGGGUCCCUCCUACUUCUUCCCUGACGUUGACCGUCAUUGUCACUGUCCGAGCUCGUUGCUCUGCUCCGUCCGACCUUGCCACUUACAACAUGGGUUUCUUGAUCGUUUCAAUAGUCCGGUAAUGAGGGGUAUUACGAUUUCGAUCCGCAGCUUCACCAGGACGUUGACCAGGAAGGCAAGCAUCAUGAAUUCCCUAUCUUAUGUUUUGCUUAUGUUGAAGGAUUAUACUAUCUUGUUGCCCGUGUUGGUUACCAUGUCGUACCUUUCUUUGCAAUAUCCAUGUUUAGGACAUGGGGUAGGAGUUGCUUGAUGUUCAUGAUCAGCGGGUUGUGACAUAUAUUAAUUCCGGCAAUUUGUAGUCAUCUUAAAAUAGUACAA